rnacentral:rRNA from 1 species
UACGUAGGUGGCGAGCGUUGUCCGGAAUUACUGGGCGUAAAGAGCUCGUAGGUGGUUUGUCGCGUUGUCCGUGAAAACUCACAACUCAAUUGUGGGCGUGCGGGCGAUACGGGCAGACUGGAGUACUGCAGGGGAGACUGGAAUUCCUGGUGUAGCGGUGGAAUGCGCAGAUAUCAGGAGGAACACCGGUGGCGAAGGCGGGUCUCUGGGCAGUAACUGACGCUGAGGAGCGAAAGCGUGGGGAGCGAACAGG